rnacentral:ncRNA from 1 species
GUGGCAGUAAGGUAAGAGUGUCCGUAAGGACUGGUCGACAGGUAACUUUCGAUACCCAAAGUCACAUGCGCGACAGCCAAGCGUUCAUAGCGACGUUGCUUUUUGAUCCUUCGAUGUCGGCUCGUCCUAUCAUUGUGAAGCAGAAUUCACCAAGUGUUGGAUUGUUCACCCACCAAUAGGGAACGUGAGCUGGGUUUAGACCGUCGUGAGACAGGUUAGUUUUACCCUACUGAUGAGCUGUGCCGCAAUAGUAAUUCAACUUAGUACGAGAGGAACCGUUGAUUCGCACAAUUGGUAAUUGCGCUUGGUUGAAAAGCCAGUGGCGCGAAGCUACCAUGCGUGGGAUUAUGACUGAACGCCUCUAAGUCAGAAUCCGUGCUAGAUGCGGUGCUCUCUACCUCCUCAGCUGUUACCUGAUUAAGGUUAGGGGGGCCCCGUGCUCCCCCGAGAACACAUGACGCGAGCGCCGUCCCCCGGGGCCGAUGCUGCCCCGGGGGCGCGGCUUGGAAAUCCAAUUUCGAACGGUCGAGGAGAUAAAUCCUUUGCAGACGACUUAAAUAGGGGACGGGGUACUGUAAGUGGCAGAGUAGCCUUGCUGCUACGAUCCGCUGAGGUUCAUCCCUCUGUCCCACCGAUUU